rnacentral:rRNA from 1 species
GACGAACGCUGGCGGCGUGCCUAAUACAUGCAAGUAGAACGCUGAAGGAGGAGCUUGCUCUUCUGGAUGAGUUGCGAACGGGUGAGUAACGCGUAGGUGACCUGCCUGGUAGCGGGGGAUAACUAUUGGAAACGAUAGCUAAUACCGCAUAACAGUAGAUGUUGCAUGACAUUUGCUUAAAAGGUGCAAUUGCACCACUACCAGAUGGACCUGCGUUGUAUUAGCUAGUUGGUGGGGUAACGGCUCACCAAGGCGACGAUACAUAGCCGACCUGAGAGGGGGAUCGGCCACACUGGGACUGAGACACGGCCCAGACUCCUACGGGAGGCAGCAGUAGGGAAUCUUCGGCAAUGGACGGAAGUCUGACCGAGCAACGCCGCGUGAGUGAAGAAGGUUUUCGGAUCGUAAAGCUCUGUUGUAAGAGAAGAACGAGUGUGAGAGUGGAAAGUUCACACUGUGACGGUAUCUUACCAGAAAGGGACGGCUAACUACGUG